rnacentral:rRNA from 1 species
UACGUAGGUGGCAAGCGUUGUCCGGAAUUAUUGGGCGUAAAGCGCGCGCAGGCGGUCCUUUAAGUCUGAUGUGAAAGCCCACGGCUCAACCGUGGAGGGUCAUUGGAAACUGGGGGACUUGAGUGCAGGAGAGAAGAGUGGAAUUCCACGUGUAGCGGUGAAAUGCGUAGAGAUGUGGAGGAACACCAGUGGCGAAGGCGGCGUUCUGGACUGUUUCUGACACUGAAAAACGAAAGCCAGGGGAGCAAACGGG